rnacentral:rRNA from 1 species
AGCAGUCGCCGCGGGAAUACGUAGGGUGCAAGCGUUAAUCGGAAUUACUGGGCGUAAAGCGUGCGCAGGCGGUUUGUUAAGACAGAUGUGAAAUCCCCGGGCUCAACCUGGGAACUGCAUUUGUGACUGGCAAGCUAGAGUGUGGCAGAGGGGGGUGGAAUUCCGCGUGUAGCAGUGAAAUGCGUAGAUAUGCGGAGGAACACCGAUGGCGAAGGCAGCCCCCUGGGCCAACACUGACGCUCAUGCACGAAAGCGUGGGGAGCAAACAGGAUUAGAUACCCCGGUAGUCCCUGUCUCUUAUAC